rnacentral:rRNA from 1 species
GUUAAUAUUCCUGUACUUGGUGUUACUGCGAAGGGGGGACGGAGAAGGCUAUGUUGGCCGGGCGACGGUUGUCCCGGUUUAAGCGUGUAGGCUGGUUUUCCAGGCAAAUCCGGAAAAUCAAGGCUGAGGCGUGAUGACGAGGCACUACGGUGCUGAAGCAACAAAUGCCCUGCUUCCAGGAAAAGCCUCUAAGCAUCAGGUAACAUCAAAUCGUACCCCAAACCGACACAGGUGGUCAGGUAGAGAAUACCAAGGCGCUUGAGAGAACUCGGGUGAAGGAACUAGGCAAAAUGGUGCCGUAACUUCGGGAGAAGGCACGCUGAUAUGUAGGUGAAGUCCCUCGCGGAUGGAGCUGAAAUCAGUCGAAGAUACCAGCUGGCUGCAACUGUUUAUUAAAAACACAGCACUGUGCAAACACGAAAGUGGACGUAUACGGUGUGACGCCUGCCCGGUGCCGGAAGGUUAAUUGAUGGGGUUAGCGCAAGCGAAGCUCUUGAUCGAAGCCCCGGUAAACGGCGGCCGUAACUAUAACGGUCCUAAGGUAGCGAAAUUCCUUGUCGGGUAAGUUCCGACCUGCACGAAUGGCGUAAUGAUGGCCAGGCUGUCUCCACCCGAGACUCAGUGAAAUUGAACUCGCUGUGAAGAUGCAGUGUACCCGCGGCAAGACGGAAAGACCCCGUGAACCUUUACUAUAGCUUGACACUGAACAUUGAGCCUUGAUGUGUAGGAUAGGUGGGAGGCUUUGAAGUGUGGACGCCAGUCUGCAUGGAGCCGACCUUGAAAUACCACCCUUUAAUGUUUGAUGUUCUAACGUUGACCCGUAAUCCGGGUUGCGGACAGUGUCUGGUGGGUAGUUUGACUGGGGCGGUCUCCUCCUAAAGAGUAACGGAGGAGCACGAAGGUUGGCUAAUCCUGGUCGGACAUCAGGAGGUUAGUGCAAUGGCAUAAGCCAGCUUGACUGCGAGCGUGACGGCGCGAGCAGGUGCGAAAGCAGGUCAUAGUGAUCCGGUGGUUCUGAAUGGAAGGGCCAUCGCUCAACGGAUAAAAGGUACUCCGGGGAUAACAGGCUGAUACCGCCCAAGAGUUCAUAUCGACGGCGGUGUUUGGCACCUCGAUGUCGGCUCAUCACAUCCUGGGGCUGAAGUAGGUCCCAAGGGUAUGGCUGUUCGCCAUUUAAAGUGGUACGCGAGCUGGGUUUAGAACGUCGUGAGACAGUUCGGUCCCUAUCUGCCGUGGGCGCUGGAGAAUUGAGGGGGGCUGCUCCUAGUACGAGAGGACCGGAGUGGACGCAUCACUGGUGUUCGGGUUGUCAUGCCAAUGGCACUGCCCGGUAGCUAAAUGCGGAAGAGAUAAGUGCUGAAAGCAUCUAAGCACGAAACUUGCCCCGAGAUGAGUUCUCCCUGACUCCUUGAGAGUCCUGAAGGAACGUUGAAGACGACGACGUUGAUAGGCCGGGUGUGUAAGCGCAGCGAUGCGUUGAGCUAACCGGUACUAAUGAACCGUGAGGCUUAACCUU